UUAACACCCGUGUUUUGAAAUUCCUCGACUUUGUCCGUAGACGCACGGAACUCGUGCAUAAAAUGUAAUACAUUUACAUUACGUUCAAAUGUAAUAACGUAAUGUCAUAAUGCGUACCUAUGUGCGCGGUUACGGGUCUACGGAAUUCAAUUCGACGCGAUUUAAUAGUAAUAACGAUGACGGUACGCGAAGCGACGUGUUUAUCGAUCCGGCAACAAACGUAUUUAAAUCGACGGCAUGCGUCGGUGCGUCCGUCAAGUGCAAAACAUAACGUAAUGCGGCGAGUGCGGUGUGUGCACAAGUCUAAGUACGGGUCGCGACGGUCUGAUUUUGUUAUGAUACAGCUUUAAUUGCUGCGUCUUGUAAUAUAUGGAGCGCAACCGAAAGAAACGACGAACUCGGCCAAAAAGACGCUAUUCCUUGUUCCACGCUUUAACACGAGGGGCAUCAGGCGGUGGAUGAUUAGGGUUCAACCACCAACCCUCCUCCUCUGAAAUCGUAAGAA